GCAGGAAGCAAAGUGUUUGUGUUUGUCUCCUGAAAAAUGGGCUGUUUUUCCUCCACUCUGGUCCCGGGGAAGUCCAUCACUCCCUGCUUCCCUUGGAUGGCUUAAAAGCUCCUUUGCUGCAAGAGCCUGGGAGGGUUCCAGCUCCAGGAGGGAUUAAACCACUCCUGGAGGAGAUGCAGCGUGAUGACAGCAAUUCCCCCAUGUGAUGCUGAUCCCAGGCUUUUCCUUUUUUUUUUUUUUCCCCCCAAAGGAUCAAGGGAUGCGUUUAACAAAACGAGCUGCCCUUUCCGUCUGCGCACACAGCGUCCCCCGGAGCUGUUCCCGGGAAGGGAGAACAUCAUUAAGGAGUUUUAUGACGGAUCUGCACAUCACGCCACCCAUGCAUAAGGAAGAUCCAGCCCGGCUGCACCGUGAACUGAACUGACUGCUGAUGAAUUUGUCUCCCAUUUUAAUUACUUUCUGUACAUUAAAGGUGUAGUGGACCAUG